UACGGGGGGGGGCAAGCGUUGUUCGGAAUUACUGGGCGUAAAGGGCUCGUAGGCGGCCAACUAAGUCAGACGUGAAAUCCCUCGGCUUAACCGGGGAACUGCGUCUGAUACUGGAUGGCUUGAAUCCGGGAGAGGGAUGCGGAAUUCCAGGUGUAGCGGUGAAAUGCGUAGAUAUCUGGAGGAACACCGGUGGCGAAGGCGACAUCCUGGACCAACACUGACGCUGAGUGAGCGAAAGCCAGGGGAGCAAACGGG
rnacentral:rRNA from 1 species